GAUGAACGCUGGCGGCGUGCCUAAUACAUGCAAGUCGAGCGAACGGACGAGAAGCUUGCUUCUCUGAUGUUAGCGGCGGACGGGUGAGUAACACGUGGAUAACCUACCUAUAAGACUGGGAUAACUUCGGGAAACCGGAGCUAAUACCGGAUAAUAUUUUGAACCGCAUGGUUCAAAAGUGAAAGACGGUCUUGCUGUCACUUAUAGAUGGAUCCGCGCUGCAUUAGCUAGUUGGUAAGGUAACGGCUUACCAAGGCAACGAUGCAUAGCCGACCUGAGAGGGUGAUCGGCCACACUGGAACUGAGACACGGUCCAGACUCCUACGGGAGGCAGCAGUAGGGAAUCUUCCGCAAUGGGCGAAAGCCUGACGGAGCAACGCCGCGUGAGUGAUGAAGGUCUUCGGAUCGUAAAACUCUGUUAUUAGGGAAGAACAUAUGUGUAAGUAACUGUGCACAUCUUGACGGUACCUAAUCAGAAAGCCACGGCUAACUACGUGCCAGCAGCCGCGGUAAUACGUAGGUGGCAAGCGUUAUCCGGAAUUAUUGGGCGUAAAGCGCGCGUAGGCGGUUUUUUAAGUCUGAUGUGAAAGCCCACGGCUCAACCGUGGAGGGUCAUUGGAAACUGGAAAACUUGAGUGCAGAAGAGGAAAGUGGAAUUCCAUGUGUAGCGGUGAAAUGCGUAGAGAUAUGGAGGAACACCAGUGGCGAAGGCGACUUUCUGGUCUGUAACUGACGCUGAUGUGCGAAAGCGUGGGGAUCAAACAGGAUUAGAUACCCUGGUAGUCCACGCCGUAAACGAUGAGUGCUAAGUGUUAGGGGGUUUCCGCCCCUUAGUGCUGCAGCUAACGCAUUAAGCACUCCGCCUGGGGAGUACGACCGCAAGGUUGAAACUCAAAGGAAUUGACGGGGACCCGCACAAGCGGUGGAGCAUGUGGUUUAAUUCGAAGCAACGCGAAGAACCUUACCAAAUCUUGACAUCCUUUGACAACUCUAGAGAUAGAGCUUUCCCCUUCGGGGGACAAAGUGACAGGUGGUGCAUGGUUGUCGUCAGCUCGUGUCGUGAGAUGUUGGGUUAAGUCCCGCAACGAGCGCAACCCUUAAGCUUAGUUGCCAUCAUUAAGUUGGGCACUCUAAGUUGACUGCCGGUGACAAACCGGAGGAAGGUGGGGAUGACGUCAAAUCAUCAUGCCCCUUAUGAUUUGGGCUACACACGUGCUACAAUGGACAAUACAAAGGGCAGCGAAACCGCGAGGUCAAGCAAAUCCCAUAAAGUUGUUCUCAGUUCGGAUUGUAGUCUGCAACUCGACUACAUGAAGCUGGAAUCGCUAGUAAUCGUAGAUCAGCAUGCUACGGUGAAUACGUCCCCGGGUCU
rnacentral:rRNA from 1 species